AAACAGCUACGUGGGAACCGCCCCAAGUUUCCCACGUUUCUGCGGGACGACUCUGAGUCAGCCUGCUCCCUGUUUCCAUGUCAAAACAUCCCGUACUGGUGCCACGAACGUGGACGGAACAAACGUGCAGAAAGCGGAGCGACGCUAAUGGCUCCCACAGCUCCGUGAGCUCAGGCGCACAGCGCUCCAUAAAUAUUUCAACGUGGAACAUCGCGGAUCAAUAAAGGCCUGCGGGAUGGGAAUACUCACGGGUUCGCGGAGUGAACGAUGCUGUUAUUUCAUCUGAACGAUGUUGGCAUUCCUGGAGCUCCGCAGCCUGACAAACAACAUGUUUGUCGCUGAGAUAACCUGCUGUUGUUCCCGGUGGUUAUUAAGUGGAUUAACCCCUUUAGAUUAGUCUCGGCCACUUCUCCCAUCUGUCCACUUGAGCACCCCAGAUAUGGUUCUGGACGAGCACCGAGGGGAUCACACACACACACACACACGCACACACACACUACACAGCAACAGAGGCUUUGUGGGCAGCCUCGUGUUUACAUAAGGAACUCCUUUUCCAUCUCACCCGCUGUUCAUACGGCCCGAGCGUGAUCAACACGCACAGAUCUGACCGCUUUCCACAAGUGUUACGGCAGCCAUAGAAAAAUACAACGGGACUGUAAACGGUUAAUGAUUUAAACCUCAGCUGAGAACAGUUUACAUGCAGCUCAUAAACACUGUCGACACAUUCAGGUUGAGCGAGUGGCUCUGGGCUCUUUGAUCGCAGCUGUUCCUCUGCGGGGACUUUAGAUUAAACGGGUUUUAUGCCCCGCGUACAUUUCUGGUGAUGCGUUUUAUUUGUCUUACGCAACCGUAGUCUCAUCACAAGUAACCAAACGUACGGAGGGAGAACAAACGUUUAAAAAGCAGCUCCAAAAGACAAAAGUGUGUUAAGAAAAGGAGAAUUUCUUUGCAGUUUGCAGGGUAGGAAAGUUGACACGGAUCCAACUAAAUUACGCUGAGUUCAAAUGAAUUAUUCAGCUUUGUUCUCUCUUUUGGUGUCUACAUGUUUAUGUCACUUUUUAGCCAAUCAAACAAACUCUUUUCAUAUUGGUCAGAUUAAAUGCAGUUAGCCCAAAUGUUUAUCAAAAUAUAAUAUUUUCUCUCCAUAAAUGACACCAUGUGGAGUUUCCUGAUGUGAAUGACCUUUGUUUCAUGCAUUUUGCGUCACUUUUGCAAAAAGAAAAGGAAUUUGAUUCUACAUUACUUUUUAAACCAGCAAUGUGUGGUAAGACUAAAUAGAUAAUUAAGUGUACAAGUAAUGGAACAAAUUUCACAGGUAGUAGUUUGGAAAACUUGGUGCAACCUGCACACACAAUCAAAACCUUCCACAAGGCUUCAAAAAAAAAAAAAAAACAUAAUUAAUUAUGCUGCUGAUAUUAAACACAUUUAUCUGUAAAUGUUUACCAGUGAAGCUAAGACAAGCCUGAUUAGAUGGAUGUUCACUACAAAUAAAUAGCUAUGAACAUUUUAUGCAUUUAGUUAAUCACAUAAAUGUAAAACUGAUAUAAUUAGCUAAAUAACAAAAGUUGCCAGUCCUGUUUCUUUUCAGGAAUUUAAAGCAAAAAAACAAAACAAAAAAAGCAGAAAGAAACUACGUUUUUAUGCUCCCAGAUGAAGCCGUAACCGAGACAGAAACAAGAUCCUAAACAUGGAAAUAAAGAGUUUUAACAGCAACAGAACUGGCUGGACAGGUUUUCUUUCUGUAACGUGGGGCCUCACAGAGUCCUGAGCUCCCUCUGGACUCACAACUUCAUGUUUGCUCUUGUUUGUUUAUGCUGAACAUGCAAACAAUAUGUUCUUACACAGAUACUUUUAUAUAAUAAAAGAAGGGCAAG